CAGCUAGAUCUGAAAGCUGCUUAACUUGAACAGUCCCUCGUCUGAGAUAAUCAACCACAGAGAGAUAGAGAGAGCCAGAAACAGAAAAUCAAAUAAUGCUCCAAUUACAACAAGCAAGGGGUAAAAAGACGGGGUUUUGAAUUCAAAGAAGAAGUAAGAGCUUAUUACCUCAGUUACCUGCAUUGCGAUUUACUCAGUGGAAACUGUAUCUGUUCUGAGAGCUGAGUUGUUGAAGAGAGAGAAGGGUGGUGCGUGCGACGUUCUUCAGAGUGAUGUUGUGUCACCGAACAGAAUAGAGUUGCAUUGAAGAAGAACGCAGAGAGAAAGAAAUAACAGGAAUGUGUGGUGUUAGAAUGUAAUCAUGUCCUCAGGUACCUCGUAAAGACCAGGAACAAUGCAGUGAUUCUCAC
rnacentral:lncRNA from 1 species